CUGUGCCCCUGUCUUUUUUUUUUAAGCUUCUUGGCUGCCAUGAGCUUCACUUCUGCUACACUUGCCCAUCAUGAUGUUUUGCUCCAGACCCGAAAGCAAUGGACCAUCCAACCAUGGACUGAUAAACUUCAAAACUUCUUGUGAAAUAAUAUGAACGAUCCUCCUUCAGUUUGGUUAGAAAUGGAGUCAGCAUGAAGAAGCAAUCUACGAUGCAUUUUGAACACAGUUUUCCAAGUUCCUGCAAAGAUCCUGGACCACUCUACUCCUUUAGACACCAGUAAGAGUUUGGAUUCCAACCCACAUGUGGUCUUGUUCCUAGGACAAUUAACAGGAGCCUGCUUCUUUGAGCCACUUGAGCUGACCUUUCAGAAACUGGAGGUUCACACUGGGAGGGAGCUACACAGGAAUCUUGCUCACAAGACGGGAGAUCGCUGCUGUUAUUCUCCUAAAUAAAAUGCCAUGAUGAACUCAUUUAAAAUGAAGAAUGUUGUUUUAAGAGCUGUCAAAGCAAAGGGAAAUUCAGAAGCACUGAAAGCUCACUCCUGAAAGGAAUGUGAAAAACAAUUAAACAUUGACAGUAUUAGGGGCCAGCAAGAUGCUCAGGAAGUAAAGGCACGUGCUGCCACACCCCGUGAGCCACACCCCAUGGCCUGAGUUUGAUCCCCAGGACCCAUGUGGUAAAAGGAGAAAACUGACUCAUGUGAAUUAUUUUCUGACCUCUACAUGGGGGCUGUAGCACAUGCAUGUA